AUACUUAUUUGAACAGGGGUAUGUAGGAGAGGAAGGAUGAAAGAGUGAAACAAAAUAUUGUCAACAUCUGCCUUGUGACUUAGAAAAUAAAUAUGAUGCCAUGCCCUUAAGGGAUUCUUCUGAGAAAAAUGAAGUUAUUGCACAAAGAAACAGAUUCUUAGAAAGACUGAAAAAUUUGCUUGUACUUCUAAAACUGUUGAGUAUGACUAAGAAAUGAGAUGCCCCAUCACACUGCCAUUUAGGACGGGUUCCAAAACGUUUCCCUGACUCAGGGCCAUAUUUUGGUAAAGAGAAUGAAGAGAAUGAGUCUGGUUUACCAUGUGAUUCCUUUACUCAAUCUUCCAUUCACACACACACACACACACACACACACACACACACACACACACGCACCAACUAUUAGCAACAUCAUGAAUUCCUUCACUUCUCCUGUUUGGCUUCUCUAUUUAUUUAUUUAUUAUUUUAUUUAUUUUUGAGAUGGAGUAUUGCUCUGUCACCCAGUCUGGAGUGCAAUGGCGCGAGCUCAGCUCACUGUAACCUCCGCCUCCCAGGUUCAAGCAGUUUUUGUGCCUCAGCCUCCCAAGUGGCUGGGAUUACAGGUGCCUGCCACCACGCCCAGCUAAUUUUUUUUUUUUCCAGUAGAGACAGGGUUUCACCAUGAUCCACCCGCCUUGGCUUCCCAAAGUACUGGGAUUAUCAGUGUGAGCCACCACGCCUGGCUUUUAAUAUUUUUUUCGAAAAGGUCUUGACUCUGUCACCCAGACUGGAGCUCAGUGGCACAAUCUCAGCUCACUGCAGCCUUGACCUCCCAGGCUCAAGUGUUCCUCCCACCUCAGCCUCCCCAGUAGCUGGGACUACAGGCAAGCACCACCACACCCAGCUAACUUUUGUAUUUUUUGUAGAGAUGGGGUUUCACCAUGAUGGCCAGGCUGGCCUUGAAUUCCUGGGCCUGAGCCAUCCUCCCACCUUGGCCUCCCAAAGUGCUAGGAUUACAGGCAUAAGCCACCAUGCCUGGCCUCUGUCUUAAUUCAUUAAGUUUUAGGCUUUUCAGCUAACCUGUAGAUUAUCUAACACAGUGAAGGGGUUUUCUCUUUUAUUACCCAGAGCACUUGGUGCAGGAGCCAGUUCUACCUCCAGGUGUGGUUUGUUGGGAAAGGAUUCAGAUAAGAAGUGAUGCUUGAGCUGAAUCUUAAAGGAGGUGUUUUCCAGGUAAAGGAGGCAGGGAAAGAAAACCCAGGGGGAGUAUGGAGGUGAUAAAGAGGCUAGUGGAAGGUGCAGGUGCAUAGUCUGGCUGUGCUAGUGCCAGGGCAUGGGUGAUGGGUCCCACCUGGAAAGAAGGCUAGACUUGGAGUUGGGAACCAGGUACCAAGUGCCUUACGGCCCCUGCAGGUAUGUCCUGAGCCCAACCAGGAUUGUUUGGAAGAUUUUAAGCCGAGGGUGAGAGGUAGGAUGGAUUCAGAUUUGGGGACCUGAGUGGGGAACCUGAUCAGAUUUGCUUUUUGGAAAGUGACUGUGACAGAUACGUGAGCCAUGGGCAAGUCUUCAACCUGAGCCUCAGUUUCCUCAUUUCUCAAGCAGGAACAAUAGAUGUGCGUGAAGACUGGAAGCGAUAAUGUAUGUGAAAAGUGGUAUAUGUCAACUAUUAUUACAUGACUUUGAGUCACGAAUGAGCUAACAUGCUUACGUUCUCAAGAAGAGAUCAGUUUCGUCAUCUGCUUGGUAUUGUUUCUUGAUUUAUACAGCUGUUUCCUCAAGCAUUUUUCUUUAAAUGGGAGCAGCUAUUACUAUUUUUUGUCUGUUUCAGCUUCAACUCUGUUACAAAUUGGAAGGAACGAGUUGUUGAACAUUGAUCGUAGAAAAGGAAAAGAAAGUUUUUAUUUUUUGCCUUGUUGUGCAUUCAUUCUUUCAAAAGCUGUUUAGAGGAAAAAACAUUUUCUAUCUUCUCAUAGUAGUAAGUAGCAACUCAGGUGCCUGAAGACCCCAUCAUAUUUUACUAAAACUCUCCACUCCAAAAGAGCAUCAGUUGUGUGUAGGUGAAUAGAAAGCUGGUGUGUAGGCCGGGCACGGUGGCUCACACCUGUAAUCCCAGCACUUUGGGAGGCCAAGGCGGGUGGAUCACCUGAGGUCAGGAGUUUGAGACCAGCCUGGCCAAAAUGGCGAAACCGUGUCUCUACUAAAAACACAAAAAUUAGCCUGGCAUGGUGGCACGCACCUGUAGUCCCUAAGCUACUGCAGAGGCUGAGCAGUUGGCCAUUACUGGGCUGUGAAAACAGCAUGAAUGGGGAAUGGAGACUGUGGGCAAAGCAGUACAGUCCACUUGUUCGCAGGUGGGAAAGUCAAACUCUGUCUUUAUUCUUUUUUUUUUUUCUUUUUGAGAUGAGUCUCGCUCUGUCGCCCAGGCUGGAGUGCAG
rnacentral:lncRNA from 10 species